rfam:Lachnospiraceae bacterium COE1 genomic scaffold acPFN-supercont1.1, whole genome shotgun sequence.
AAAGGUUGUAAAACCAUGCCGAAGACAGUAGGUGCGAGGUGAUGCCGGCAGUGCAUCCUUUGCGUAAGGAUACCGCCUACCGAGGAAAAGAGUUUUUAUGAUAAGGAUUUUACCUCUCUUUUUGUGUCGCGGCAUAGGAUGAGAGGUUUUUGUUAUGCACA